AAAGGAGAGCUUUUUCUUUUCUUCUUGCCUUCACAUGCUAGAAAGGGAAGUCCAGGCUCUUCUGAUGCGCCAUGGGUGCACUGACUUCGAGAGCUUCGUGGCUGUUCUGCAGACAGAUGCACAAUUGUGAAACAUCAAUAUGGACUGCAAAUCUCUACUGUCAGUCAGCUCCUCUUCCCCUCUGCAUAACGUAAUCCCUAUCUCCACAAUGCCUGCACAGAUACACAUUUGCAAAGAUGUUUUUCUGGAGAUAGCGUGCAUAGCAAACACUCCCUUACUUGUUCUCAUCUCUAGCAACAUUAUACAGAGUUUCAGUUCACAGUUCCCUGUGUUCCCCCUCCCACCGCUGAAAUGCAGCCAACUCCGAGCUGCGGCUAUUAAGCAUCACACAAGCAACACCACAAAACAGAUUGUGGAAAGCACAGGAAUUCACAGAAAAGCAACAAAUUGACAGAGGUCUGGGAAGUGAUAAUAAAGGAUCAUAGGGAAUGAAUUAUUCAUGAUGCAGAAUAGCCAUCACCUUGGUGUUCAGGUGGUACCAGCAUGCAAGGGCAAGUUUUUGAGGGUGGCAGAGUCACUAGGUGCAGUCAGGUUUCAGUAAGGGAGAUGAGCAGGUCAGCUUCCUUAACCACUGAGUUUUGUCAGUCUUUCAGAGUCCCAAGGAAAGGGCUGAAGGCAUCAUUGCCUGAGGGUUUUAGAACUGGUCAGUUUCAAGUUUCAAGACUGCACUUUGAGGGCAGUUGAAUAAAACAAGAUGGAGCAA